rnacentral:tRNA from 2 species
GAAGAGAUGACGGAGUUUGGUUUAUCGUAUCUGACUGCUAAUCAGACGUACAAAUUAAGUUUAUGUACCGCAGGUUCAAAUCCUGCUCUCUUCG